rnacentral:rRNA from 1 species
CCUACGGGGGGCAGCAGUGGGGAAUAUUGGACAAUGGGGGCAACCCUGAUCCAGCCAUGCCGCGUGUGUGAAGAAGGCCCUCGGGUUGUAAAGCACUUUCAGUGAGGAAGAACGCCUGGUGGUUAAUACCCAUCAGGAAAGACAUCACUCACAGAAGAAGCACCGGCUAACUCCGUGCCAGCAGCCGCGGUAAUACGGAGGGUGCGAGCGUUAAUCGGAAUUACUGGGCGUAAAGCGCGCGUAGGUGGCUUGAUAAGCCGGUUGUGAAAGCCCCGGGCUCAACCUGGGAACGGCAUCCGGAACUGUCAAGCUAGAGUGCAGGAGAGGAAGGUAGAAUUCCCGGUGUAGCGGCGAAAUGCGUAGAGAUCGGGAGGAAUACCAGUGGCGAAGGCGGCCUUCUGGACUGACACUGACACUGAGGUGCGAAAGCGUGGGUAGCAAACAGGAUUAGAUACCCCGGUAGUC